CCUGAGUACUACACUCUAUACCCUUUGUGAACCUAUUAUAACCUGUUGCUUCGGCGGCGCCCGCUCGGGCGUGCCCGCCGGUAUCAUCAGAAUCUCUGUUUCGAACCCGACGAUACAUCUGAGUGUUCUAAGCGAACUGUUA
rnacentral:misc_RNA from 1 species